rnacentral:misc_RNA from 1 species
AAGUCGUAACAAGGUAUCCGUAGGUGAACCUGCGGAUGGAUCAUUAUGGAAUGGUUGGAUGAUUGUGAGUGGUUUUAUUAAUAGGAGAGUGGUGUUGGUUGGGAAGCGAAGCAGGAAUGCGGAGCAAGACAGCCAACAUUGCCCACGUUAAACUAUAUAAAUCUAACAUAAAUACACAUAACAAGAAACAACUUUUAGCAACGGAUCUCUUGGCUCUC